AGAAAGAUGUUGAUAUAUCAUAUUCUUGUCUUUUUUUAUCUUUUAAUUUUUUUAAUUUUUAAAAUAUUUUAUUUAUUUGACAGAGAAAGCACAUACAGGCAGAGCAGCGGGCAGAGGAGAGGGAGAAGAAGGCCCCCUGCUGAGCAGAGAGCCCACUGUGGGGCUGGAUCCCAGGACCCCAGGAGCAAGACCUGAGGCUGAAGGCAGAUGCUUAGCCAACUGAACGACCCCAGGAGCCUCUCUUUUAUCUUUUUUACAACCUUAUGGUCACACUUUUUGCACUGAACUAAAACAAAACAAAACAAAACAAAACAAAAAUCUAACUAAAAUAUGUUAUGAAUGUUUAAUUCCCUGCCACGUUAUAUGUUAUCUUAUUUUUAACUAUCUGACCCUUUUUACCAUCUACUUUAGCUAAAAUGUAUAAUGGCUUUUUGAAUUUUAUUCUUGAACAUCUUUCAGUGCAGUGAAGACACAGUACAACACCCUAGUGUUCUUCCAGAGGGAGACCAACUACACCUGGGGGAGAAACGGAGGAAUUAGAGAGACACGUGGAGUUGUUCCAAAUGAUAUCCAGUAGGUUUCUGUAUAUACUUUGAAAGCUGUCCAACCAUGAAUUUUUCACCUUGUGAUUAAGAUGACUUUUCUUUCUCGCCUAGAUAAGAAAAUAUAUUGCUUCAGACCUCCAAGAUUUCAAAUACUCAUCUUCUUUUUCUUGACCAAUGAACAACCAUAAGAGCAUGGAAAAAGACAAAUCCAGGAAUCAAUAAAUGUUCUAUUCACUGCUCUCAAGUGAUAGCAUUCAAUCUGAACCUAACUUCUGUGUCAGAAGGUGUAGCAGAUGCCUGUUGGACACAAUAUUGCACCUUCUAACUACUGCAUAUUUAAACGGUUUGGGAGAACAUGUCAAUGGAAAACAUAGUCAUAAUGGGCCAAAAGUCAAAUCCUGCUCUUCAAAGAACAUAUUCACACUCUUACACUAAGUUCAUAUAAAAUUCAAUAAAAAUUCAUAUUUU
rnacentral:lncRNA from 1 species